rnacentral:lncRNA from 1 species
GUGCGGUGUUGAGCACGCGGGAAGCACUUAACGAAAGGGAGCUGCCCCUCAGCCCUCGUGAGUCCGAUGUAAAGGAGUGAAGGAGACGAAGAACUGAAUCAGUAGUUGACCGCCUGUGAGCUGGCGAGCUGUGCCCUGGUAGGGCCUUAAAUCCCAGCCCCAGAAGUCGGAGGCAGGGCAGGCACCCCAAAGCGUGGAAGAGAUGCACCUGCGGAGUGAAAAUGCUGCUAUUGCUUCUAGGGUCAGCCUUGGUUCCUGGAACAAAGGAGCCGCAUGACUCGGGUCUGGCGAUGAUGUUGGGCUCUGCAGUGUCCUCAUCCUUCCCCCUCUCUGGGUAAUGAUAUCUUCCCAGGGUUUAAAGUGUGUCCUCUCUGCCAGUAGCUUGUCUCCACAGCCUCAUCUUUAAUUCCACCUGCCCCACCCAUUUUGGACACUGCAGCCAAGUUGCAGCAGAUCCGCAAACCUGGUAAUCCCUCACUUGAAAGUGCUGGAGGCUUUAGGAUGGGGUUCAGGGCCUGUGCAAUCUAACCGCCUGCUUUUUUUUUUUUUUUUUUUUUUUUUUUUUUGAGACGGAGUCGAAUCUCACUGUCUCCCAGGCUGGAGUGCAGUGGCGCCAUCACAGCUCAUUGCAGCCUCAACCUCCUGAGCUCAAGCCAUCCUCCCACCUCAGCCUCCCAAGUACCUGGGGUUACAGGCAAGCACCAUUACGCCUAGCUAAUUUUUCUGGGUUUUUUUUUUUUGUUUUUUUUUUUGUAUAGAUGGAUUUCGCCAUGUUGUCCAGGCUGGUCUUAAACUCUCGCUCUGUCUCCCAGGCUAGAGUGCAGUGGGGCAAUCUCGGCUCCCUGCAACCUCUGCCUCCUGGGUUCAAGCAAUUAUCCUGCCUCAGCCUACCAGUUAGCUGGGAUUACAUGUGUGCGCCACCGCGCCCGGCUAAUUUUUUUAUUUUUAGUAGAGGCGGGGUUUCACCAUGUUGACCAGGCUGGUCUCAAGACUACUGACCUCAAGUGAUCCCCCCCCCCCCCCGCCUCGGCCUCCCAAAGUGCUGGGAUUACAGACGUGAGCCACCGUGCCCAGCGGUUUUGCAUUUUCAAUUGUGGGGCACGGUGAGAAAAGACUUGAAGAAAGCAAGGGAGUGAGAUCCAUGGAAAUGUAGGGGGGAACCUUGCAGGCCUAUGGAACAGCCAGUGCAAAGGGCCUGGGGUGGGAGCUGCCUCAGGGUAGCCAGGAUGGCAGGAGGCACAGCUGCCGAGAGGAAGCAGGGGCCAGGUCCUGCAAGGUUAGAGGCCAUUGCUACUCCUGAACACAUUGGCAGGUUUUGAGCAGAGAAGUGACAUGAUUUUAGUUUUCUCAGGAUCCCUCUGGCUGCUGUGUGGAGGAAGAGGGGAGGGUGAGAGCAGGGAUACCUCUUAGGAGGCUGUGGUAGUAAUCCCAGGGAGCCAGGAUGGGAGCAGAGGAGGGGACAGGAAUUGGAUUCUGGAUGCAUUUUGGAGGGAGCAUGAAGGAAAGCGGGGUCAAAGGUUCCUCUGAGGCCUUGGCUGCCUCUCUUAUUCAUCUACAUCCAUUCUGUCAAGGACACCUUUCAUUUCUUCUUGGCACUGUCUCAAGGCCACCACGCUGCUGCCCACCUGACCAGCAGUGGCCUUUCCAGGCCUUCCAUCUUCUCCCCAGCAGCUUAUCUCUGCGUAGCCAGGUCCCAUUUCCCACACACCUUUUUUUAAAGUGUGUUGCACUGCUCUGGGUGCAGGACUGUAGCAGUGACCAGGGCAGCUCCAGAUGAAGCUUCUGCUCACAGGAACCUUUUCUACUGAAACAGAUGAUACCUAAACUCUCAGCUGUGUGACUUUAAGCAACUUGCACAACCUCUCUGUACUUCAGUUGCCUCCAUCUUCAAAUGGGGAUUAAAAAGUGUUGACAUCAUAGUGGUUGUGAGGAUUACAUGAUUUGAUAGUUUAUAAAGCACUUAGAACUUGUGAAGAAGAGUGCCUGGGGAUUGCCUAAGGUCAGGAGUUCAAGACCAGCCUGGCCAACAUGGAGAAACCUCAUCUCUGCUAAAAAUACAAAAACUAACCACGCAUGGUAGUGCACACCUCUAGUCCCAGCUACUUGGGGGGCUGAGGCAGGAGAAUCACUUGAACCUGGGAGGUGGAGAUUGCAGUGAGCCAAGAUUGCGCCACUGCACUCCAGCCUGGGCAACAGAGCAAGACUCGGUCUCCAAAGAAAAAAAAAGAACUGCCUGGCUACGGAAUAAGAACUACAUGGAGUUAUUAAAUCAAAAUCGGUGCACAAAUGAUAAUUCUUAAGAGUGAGUGCUACAGAGAACACAAAAGGCAAGGCACAGAGAGAUGACCUGGGAGGCAGGGAAGGAAAGCAUUCCCAGAGACGGAGUUUAGCUAUCUUUGCCCAGGCUAGAGUGCAAUAGCGUGAUCUUGGCUCACCACAACCUCUGCCUUCCGGGUUCAAGAAUUCUCCUGCCUCAGCCUCCCAAGUAGCUGGGAUUACAGGCAUGCACCACCAUGACCGGCUAAUUUUGUAUUUUUAGUAGAGACGGGGUUUCUCCAUGUUGGUCAGGCUGCUCUCGAACUCCCGACCUCAGAUGGUCUGCCCGCCUCAGCUUCCCAAGGUGCUGGGAUUACAGGCGUGAGCCACCGCGCCCGGCCAAUAUUUUUUGUGGAGUCAGGGUCCUACUAUGUUUCCCAGGCUGGUCUUGAACUUCCAGGCUCAAGCGAUCCUCCUGCCUUGGCCUCCUAAAGUACUGUGAUUCCAGGCCUGAGCCACAGCACCCUGCUGGCUUUCACUUUUUACUUUAUUUCUAUGUUGUUAAAAUCUAUUACAAUAAACAUUACUUUUAAAGGAUUUUGUGCACUUCAAUCCAAAUGUCCCUGAAGCAUCUACCUCCCUCCUGGGCCUUCUCUGAAGUCAGAGUAGGGGCAGCUGAAGCCCUCCCUCUGCUGGCUCCAGGAACGAAACCCCCUGGCCCACUAAGGCCCUUCCCCUGGGGAGGGUGGCGUGGGAUAAGAACACUCAGUAUCUGUCUGGCCCUCUCAAGAUCACUGAGGACUUUCCCAGACAGCCGACAUGGUCUUCAGAUCAGUCUGCCAAACGUCACAUAGAGGCUGGGCACGGUGGCUCACGUCUGUAAUCCCAGCACUUUGGGAGGGCAACGUGGGU